rnacentral:rRNA from 1 species
UGCAGUCGAACGAUGAACCCGCUUGCGGGGGAUUAGUGGCGAACGGGUGAGUAACACGUGAGUAACCUGCCCUUAACUCUGGGAUAAGCCUUGGAAACGGGGUCUAAUACUGGAUAUUGACUUUACCUCGCAUGGGGUUUUGUUGAAAGAUUUAUUGGUUUUGGAUGGACUCGCGGCCUAUCAGCUUGUUGGUGAGGUAAUGGCUCACCAAGGCGACGACGGGUAGCCGGCCUGAGAGGGUGACCGGCCACACUGGGACUGAGACACGGCCCAGACUCCUACGGGAGGCAGCAGUGGGGAAUAUUGCACAAUGGGCGAAAGCCUGAUGCAGCGACGCCGCGUGAGGGAUGACGGCCUUCGGGUUGUAAACCUCUUUCAGUAGGGAACAAGGCCAGCAUUUUUGUUGGUUGAGGGUACUUGCAGAAGAAGCGCCGGCUAACUACGUGCCAGCAGCCGCGGUAAUACGUAGGGCGCAAGCGUUAUCCGGAAUUAUUGGGCGUAAAGAGCUCGUAGGCGGUUUGUCGCGUCUGCCGUGAAAGUCCGGGGCUCAACUCCGGAUCUGCGGUGGGUACGGGCAGACUAGAGUGAUGUAGGGGAGACUGGAAUUCCUGGUGUAGCGGUGAAAUGCGCAGAUAUCAGGAGGAACACCGAUGGCGAAGGCAGGUCUCUGGGCAUUAACUGACGCUGAGGAGCGAAAGCAUGGGGAGCGAACAGGAUUAGAUACCCUGGUAGUCCAUGCC